rnacentral:rRNA from 1 species
UACGAAGGGGGCUAGCGUUGCUCGGAAUCACUGGGCGUAAAGCGCACGUAGGCGGCUUUUUAAGUCAGGGGUGAAAUCCUGGAGCUCAACUCCAGAACUGCCUUUGAUACUGAAAAGCUUGAGUCCGGGAGAGGUGAGUGGAACUGCGAGUGUAGAGGUGAAAUUCGUAGAUAUUCGCAAGAACACCAGUGGCGAAGGCGGCUCACUGGCCCGGAACUGACGCUGAGGUGCGAAAGCGUGGGGAGCAAACAGG